rnacentral:rRNA from 1 species
ACGUAUGGUGCAAGCGUUAUCCGGAUUUACUGGGUGUAAAGGGUGCGUAGGUGGCAAGGCAAGUCUGAAGUGAAAAUCCGGGGCUCAACCCCGGAACUGCUUUGGAAACUGUUUAGCUGGAGUACAGGAGAGGUAAGUGGAAUUCCUAGUGUAGCGGUGAAAUGCGUAGAUAUUAGGAGGAACACCAGUGGCGAAGGCGACUUACUGGACUGCUACUGACACUGAGGCACGAAAGCGUGGGGAGCAAACAGGAUUAGAUACCCUUGU